UAAUGCAGUCGAACGAACUCUGGUAUUGAUUGGUGCUUGCAUCAUGAUUUACAUUUGAGUGAGUGGCGAACUGGUGAGUAACACGUGGGAAACCUGCCCAGAAGCGGGGGAUAACACCUGGAAACAGAUGCUAAUACCGCAUAACAACUUGGACCGCAUGGUCCGAGCUUGAAAGAUGGCUUCGGCUAUCACUUUUGGAUGGUCCCGCGGCGUAUUAGCUAGAUGGUGGGGUAACGGCUCACCAUGGCAAUGAUACGUAGCCGACCUGAGAGGGUAAUCGGCCACAUUGGGACUGAGACACGGCCCAAACUCCUACGGGAGGCAGCAGUAGGGAAUCUUCCACAAUGGACGAAAGUCUGAUGGAGCAACGCCGCGUGAGUGAAGAAGGGUUUCGGCUCGUAAAACUCUGUUGUUAAAGAAGAACAUAUCUGAGAGUAACUGUUCAGGUAUUGACGGUAUUUAACCAGAAAGCCACGGCUAACUACGUGCCAGCAGCCGCGGUAAUACGUAGGUGGCAAGCGUUGUCCGGAUUUAUUGGGCGUAAAGCGAGCGCAGGCGGUUUUUUAAGUCUGAUGUGAAAGCCUUCGGCUCAACCGAAGAAGUGCAUCGGAAACUGGGAAACUUGAGUGCAGAAGAGGACAGUGGAACUCCAUGUGUAGCGGUGAAAUGCGUAGAUAUAUGGAAGAACACCAGUGGCGAAGGCGGCUGUCUGGUCUGUAACUGACGCUGAGGCUCGAAAGUAUGGGUAGCAAACAGGAUUAGAUACCCUGGUAGUCCAUACCGUAAACGAUGAAUGCUAAGUGUUGGAGGGUUUCCGCCCUUCAGUGCUGCAGCUAACGCAUUAAGCAUUCCGCCUGGGGAGUACGGCCGCAAGGCUGAAACUCAAAGGAAUUGACGGGGGCCCGCACAAGCGGUGGAGCAUGUGGUUUAAUUCGAAGCUACGCGAAGAACCUUACCAGGUCUUGACAUACUAUGCAAAUCUAAGAGAUUAGACGUUCCCUUCGGGGACAUGGAUA
rnacentral:rRNA from 2 species